CCUCAAUCAAGGGACUGCAGCAGCUGCAACUGAGCCAGCAGGGGGUGCUUCCUUUCAACAAGGCUACUCCUGAAUAAAUGUUGCAGUUCAACUUUAAGGCCAUCACAGCCUCGCUGAUCUGCAAGGAUGCUGCAAGAACAUUAGCCAAAGCAGGAGGAGGGAGCACAUUCCUCUGAUUCAAACAGUUCAACUGUAGCAGGCUGAAUUUUCUCAACCUGUAAUUUUGGACUAACUAGCAGCACGAGACCUGUGAUCUCAUUUGUAGUUACAAAGCAUUUAUUGUUUACAGUAUAAUUACAUGACAUGAAUAACCCGGCUGUACACAUGGUUAAUGUGUUAAUGCCCUCAAUACCCUGGCUUUUAUUCUGCAAUCACAGACUUAUUCACUUGUCUUAUUUGAUUGUAUAUUUAUUUAUGUUUUAUAUAGUGUAUAUUUUGUAUAACUUGUACAGCACUUUGGUCAAUUAAGGUUGUCUAAAAUGUGAUAUGUAAAUAAAUAAACCUGACUUGGU